rnacentral:rRNA from 1 species
AUGGGUAUCCUACAUAGCGGUGGCCACGGCGAUGGUCAUCAAGUCUUCAAAAAAGAAUAUAUACGAUUGCAUUGCAUAUACUAACGGAUGCGAUCAUACCAGCACUAAUGCACCGGAUCCCAUCAGAACUCCGCAGUUAAGCGUGCUUGGGCGAGAGUAGUACUAGGAUGGGUGACCUCCCGGGAAGUCCUCGUGUUGCAUCCCUC